UGGGCCUACGGGACGCAGCAGUGGGGAAUAUUGCGCAAUGGGCGAAAGCCUGACGCAGCGACGUCGCGUGAGGGAUGAAGGUUUUCGGAUCGUAAACCUCUGUCAGAAGGGAAGAAAGUGCGUGGUGCUAAUCAGCCGCGUAUUGACGGUACCUUCAAAGGAAGCACCGGCUAACUCCGUGCCAGCAGCCGCGUUAAUACUGAGGGUGCGAGCGUUAAUCGGAAUUACUGGGCGUAAAGCGCACGUAGGCUGUUGUGUAAGUCA
rnacentral:rRNA from 1 species